GUGAACAGCCCCCUUCUUUUCUCCAUAAAAACUUUAUUGAACAAACUGUUUAUCUUUGGUCACGUGAUAUUCUGGAAAACGAUCUUCUUAUGGAUACGCCCCCUUUUACAGGCUUCGGGGCCUUAGUGUCACAGUAACGUCACUAAUUCUAAUAGUAAGCUGCAAAGUAAGUACGUUUAAACUGUAUUAAAUAUAUUAUUAAACCGCAUGGGUUGCCACAUAAUUCAUUGAAAAAGAAAAAAAAACAGACGAAGUAAUCUAGUUUGAAGUUUGAUCAAUACAAACUAUUAUCAGUUGUAAUGUUCUUUCAAAGUUAUUUCAGCUGUUAUAAGGGGCCAUUUGAAGUUUAUUUCUUUAUAUCUGUCAGAUAUAAACAUCUUCAACGGUAUUAAGCAAACGUAAGGAAUAACAUUGGUUCGGUUUCUGGCACGUGAUCCCAGGUGACGUCACAGCUGAGGUAUAAAAAUGUUGUAGUCGAGUUUGCAAGGGAGCGAUCAUGUAACAUCACAGCCCUGUCCUCGCGGUGUCAUGGAUUUAAAGCAUUUCCUGUGCUUUGCUUUUACCACAUGUGCUUUGGGAUUUUCUUCUGCUCCCGAUGACCAAAAAGAAGUAGUAGAGGCUGGAAAGACUGCAGUACUGAAGUGUAACGAUUCCAGUAUUGGCAAAGUGGACAAGGUCACAUGGAUCAGGAAAGAUCUGGGAACAAAUCUGUAUGUUUUCUUCUACCGAGAAAAUCGCCCAUAUGAAAACAUCCAGCAUCCAUCCUUUCGUGGCCGAGUGGAGCUGAGUGAUCCACAAAUUAAACAUGGAAAUGUGUCCCUCACUCUCUACAACACCAACACUAAUGACACGGGAACGUAUGAGUGUCAUGUCGUAGGCCGUCAUGCAGGACGCAGUAAAAGAGCAGUUUCUGAAGUCCAGCAUGUGGUACAGCUGACUGUCAAACCUUCAAGUCAGUCAGGAGGACAAGAGAAGGAUGGAGCUGCUGAACCAAUUCCCGGUCUGUCAGUUCUUGUUGUUGUGACUGUUGUGCUUGUGCUUGUGUCUGUGGCUGCUGUUGUUGGUUUGUUGAUUAAGAAACGGCUCAAAAAAGGGUCAUACAUGUCUGAUUCUGAGGCACUUAACGUAGAUGUUUUAAAUAAACUAACUAACUAAACUGUGUCUCCUGUUGCAAUAUCCAUGUCUCUGUGCAGCAGUGUCUGCAAAGGUCAAACACAAUCUUGCAUUUGUUUUUCCCUGUCUUUCUGGAGGUUAAUUUGAUUUGAAAAUCACAAUACUUAAAUACAUGAUUUCUGUUUUUAAGUUAUCAUAUUAGUGUCAUAAAACAAAGUUGAAGCUAAUGUGUACUAAUGUUCUUGCAGACCACUGAGAGGAAAAAGCACAUCAUAAUGGUCUCAGUUAUCACCAACAGUACUUAGUGAUAAAAUAAUAAGUUUCUCCCUUUAACUGUAAUUUUUCCCUUUCCCUUUGACUUUCAUUUCUUACAUGGGAUUAUUAAUAUUGUUAUUAUUAUUAUUAUUAUUUUAUUAUUGAAAUCUAUUGAUUUUUAACAAUGUUUAAGUAAGGUUAUCUUGUAACCUUUUCAUUUUUAUGACUUUCUUAUUAUCAGUGAAAUGGAAAAAGAAAAUAAAAACGCCGUACAACAAGCUAUUUUAUCUGGAUGUGUUUUUAUUUUUUAUAGCUAUGAAAGAUAAUCAUACGAAUAUCAAGCAAAAAUCUAAUUCUGACCUCUUGUUUUUAUACCUGAUUUAAAGACAUAAAUCAGUCCUUGUUAGUUAACUACUGAACAAAGUCCUGCCUUCAAAACAAAGAAUGAUAACCUGAUAAUAAACCUAUAGUACAAGGUCAGGACCAACAAAAAAACUAAAACUGACUGGCUGACUGUGUCCAAAUGCAGUAAAGAACAUUUUUCAUUUGACAGCCAACAAUCAAUGUUACUCACGUCUGGUUUUAUUACUUAAAAAUAGAAACUCAGCUGCAGUAUUUCUGUUGUAAAUAUACAAAUAAGUGAGGAAAAAAAUGGGCUCAAGCUAUGUUGUCUUUGACAAGGAACGAUCCAGUACUCAAAGAGGCCAGUAAGUUGUUUAACAAAGACUUGAAAAAAAUGAGAGA
ensembl:lncRNA